rnacentral:rRNA from 1 species
CUUGCCCUACGGGACGCAGCAGUGGGGAAUAUUGCACAAUGGGCGCAAGCCUGAUGCAGCGACGCCGCGUGCGGGAUGGAGGCCUUCGGGUUGUAAACCGCUUUUGUUCAAGGGCAAGGCACGGUCUUUGGCCGUGUUGAGUGGAUUGUUCGAAUAAGCACCGGCUAACUACGUGCCAGCAGCCGCGGUAAUACGUAGGGUGCAAGCGUUAUCCGGAUUUAUUGGGCGUAAAGGGCUCGUAGGCGGUUCGUCGCGUCCGGUGUGAAAGUCCAUCGCUUACCGGUGGAUCCUCG